GAUGAACGCUGGCGGCGUGCCUAAUACAUGCAAGUCGAGCGAACAGAUGAGGAGCUUGCUCCUCUGACGUUAGCGGCGGACGGGUGAGUAACACGUGGAUAACCUACCUAUAAGACUGGGAUAACUUCGGGAAACCGGAGCUAAUACCGGAUAAUAUAUUGAACCGCAUGGUUCAAUAGUGAAAGACGGUUUUGCUGUCACUUAUAGAUGGAUCCGCGCCGCAUUAGCUAGUUGGUAAGGUAACGGCUUACCAAGGCAACGAUGCGUAGCCGACCUGAGAGGGUGGUCGGCCACACUGGAACUUAGACACGGUCCAGACUCCUACGGGAGGCCGCAGUAGGGAAUCUUCCGCAAUUGGCGAAAGCCUGACGGAGCAACGCCGGGUGAGUGAUUAAGGUCUUCGGAUCGUAAAACUCUGUUAUUAGGGAAGAACAAAUGUGUAAGUAACUAUGCACGUCUUGACGGUACCUUAUCAGAAAGCCACGGCUAACUACGUG
rnacentral:rRNA from 1 species